rnacentral:rRNA from 1 species
AGAACGAACGCUGGCGGCGUGGAUAAGACAUGCAAGUCGAACGGGAUAUUCUUCCUAGCAAUAGGAGGAAUGUCUAGUGGCGUAAGGGUGCGUAACACGUGGGCAACCUGCCGAAAAGUGGGGGAUAGCUCGCCGAAAGGCGAAUUAAUACCGCAUGUGGUCAGCGAAACAUUUUCGCCAGACCAAAGCCGGGGCAACCUGGCGCUUUUCGAUGGGCCCGCGGCCUAUCAGCUAGUUGGUGAGGUAAUAGCUUACCAAGGCAAUGACGGUAGCUGGUCUGAGAGGACGACCAGCCACACUGGAACUGAGACACGGUCCAGACACCUACGGGUGGCAGCAGUCGAGAAUUUUCUCAAGUGGGGAAACCCUGAAGGAGCGACGCCGCGUGGAGGAUGAAGGUCUUCGGAUUGUAAACUCCUGUCAUUGGUGAACAAGGUCCGACCGGUUAAACUGGACCGGUUGGCUCGAUAGUAGCCGAAGAGGAAGAGACGGCUAAC